AAGAUUUGGGUGAACUUGAAGCCACUGGUGAAGUGAGGCUUUGCCAUGUGCCAGCUCAGGCACACGCGGCUACUUCUCUCCCCGUUGUCUUAGCUCAGCCUUCACAGAGCACUGCAGUGUAUGGAUGGCCAUCUUCUCGUACCCGAGACCCCCUCCGAGAGUCACACUCAGCUUGCCACUGAGAAGGGCCGGGGAGUGUCCGUAGUGCUGGUCCAACCCCGACACAGUCCCUAAAACGUGCCUGGGUGGCUUCUGAGUCUUGCGUCAGUUUACGUGCUGCGACACUUGAGGCCUGACUUCUCAGGAGCACCCAGCUUCCUCCGGGGAGCCCUCCCACCCCUGCACGUUCUGUGUCUCCACAGAGGCGAGAAGAAAAAGAAGCGGGACCGGCAGAUCCAGAAGAUCACCAAUGCCAUGCGGGCCUUCGCCUUCACCAACCUGCUGCUCGUGGGCUUUGGGGUGACCUGCCUCAUUCCCAACCUGCCUCUCCAGAUCCUCUCCUUCAUCCUGCACACAAUCGUGCGAGGAUUUAUCCACUCCGCUGUCGGGGGCCUGUACGCCG
rnacentral:sRNA from 1 species